UACAGAGGUCCCAAGCGUUGUUCGGAUUCAUUGGGCGUAAAGGGUGUGUAGGUGGCGCCGUAAGUCGGGUGUGAAAUCUCGGGGCUUAACUCCGAAACUGCAUUCGAUACUGCGGUGCUUGAGGACUGGAGAGGAGACUGGAAUUCAUGGUGUAGCAGUGAAAUGCGUAGAGAUCAUGAGGAAGACCAGUGGCGAAGGCGGGUCUCUGGACAGUUCCUGACACUGAGACACGAAGGCCAGGGGAGCAAACGGG
rnacentral:rRNA from 1 species